GAGAAACCUGGCGGGGAAGUUUGCCCGACACCCUUUGCCCUACGCAGCUUAUUUGGCAGAGAGGCAGUUCUCCAAAUGACCGACAGAUGGCGCUAAACCUUCACUGUAGCUUUCCUGUUCUCCCCAAGACCUGCCAGCAAGCUGAACAACCACCCACUCUCUGCUCUGCGCUCCUCUGCUCAUUGAAGAAGAGUCCCUUUGAGCUCAGAAAAAGUUGAGAAUCUAGCUAUUCAAAGGCUGAAUGAAGGAACCGAGGACUGAAAAAUGCAGAACUGGUGAAUGCGAAGCACUGGGAUUGGCAGUUGCGUGAAUCUGCAAAUGCAGAACUGGAUGUGGAGGGCUGAUUGGACCUGCAGGAGCCCACCAGUUGGACUCAAAGAAAC